rnacentral:rRNA from 1 species
UGGGGAAUCUUGGACAAUGGGCGAAAGCCUGAUCCAGCCAUUCCGCGUGAAUGAUGAAGGCCUUAGGGUUGUAAAAUUCUUUCAGCAGGGAAGAUAAUGACUGUACCUGCAGAAGAAGCCCCGGCUAACUCCGUGCCAGCAGCCGCGGUAAUACGGAGGGGGCUAGCGUUGUUCGGAAUUACUGGGCGUAAAGCGCACGUAGGCGGACCAACCAGUCAGAGGUGAAAGGCGAAGGCUCAACCUUGGAACUGCCUUAGAUACUGUUGGUCUGGAGUUCGGGAGAGGUGUGUGGAAUUCCGAGUGUAGAGGUGAAAGUCGGAGAUAUUCGGAGGAUCACCAGAGGCGAAGGCGACACACUGGACCGAUACUGACGCUGAGGUGCGAAAGCGUGGGGAGCAAACAGGAUUAGAUACCCGCGUAGUCC